CUUGCAUACAGACUGCUGCCACGCUGGCUGGCUAGGUCGCUCUUCUUAUGUCUUCUUCCAGUGUUCAGAGAGGAAUUGGAGUUUCUCCCCCCCAUGUGCAUGUGUUUCAUAACUUGGUGUGAAGAAGCAUGGAAAGAGAAAGAAUUUUUUACAUAAACUCAUAUUAAAGUCAACCCUGUUCAGUGAUGGAUAUUUUGUCAGAGAGGGCAGGAGACAGAUACCUUUGCACAGGAUGCUUGUAAAUGUUCUUGGAACUUACUGUGAUGCUUUGACAUAUAAAUCGGCUGAGAAAGAAAUCAAAGAAUCAUCCCCCUUUACAAUAGCCACAAACAACAUAAAACAUCUUAGGGUAACUCUAACCAAACAGGUGAAAGACCUG